rnacentral:rRNA from 1 species
UACGAAGGGGGCUAGCGUUGUUCGGAAUUACUGGGCGUAAAGCGCGCGCAGGCGGCUAUCCAAGUCAGUGGUGAAAGCCCGGAGCUCAACUCCGGAACUGCCAUUGAAACUGUUUAGCUGGAGUAUGAGAGAGGUGAGUGGAAUUCCCAGUGUAGAGGUGAAAUUCGUAGAUAUCGGGAGGAACACCUGUGGCGAAAGCGGCUCACUGGACCAUAACUGACGCUGAUGCACGAAAGCUGGGGGAGCAAACAGG